UCUGUUGUGUGUAUUUUUAAGACCACAGACAGCUAAAGCUUUAUGACCAAAAUAAUGAAUGAAAAGCUUUACUCCUCUCAUGUUGUGUAACGUCCAUUUAUCAGAGAGACCAAAUAACCAAACAUCACUGCGUGUGUGUGAGCCGAAGCUUCAAACCAAAAGAUGAUCGUCGAAACACCGAGAUACAGUUCCUUCACUGUGUGUUCUGGGAAGUGAAACAUUAUUUUGUGUUUUGUUUUUUUACUGUGUCACCUGAUUGGUUCAUUGUAUGAAUUCACACUGACAAGAUUUCAACCGGUGAUUAGAAAUGAGCGGUGGCACGAACACAGGCGUUCCUCCGGCAUCGUAAUGCGUAACAUGUGUUUUUUGCUAUAUAUAUUAAAGACAGAGAAAAUCUCC